AUGAAACUCCCAAGCUUAUACUUACGGCCAUCGCUGCUCAUGGCUUCCUUAGUCAUCCAACUGAUCACGGUGGUGGUGGCCAGUGGUGGCGGCAGCGGUACUACAUCGUCGACGGCGGCGGCGGCGGCGGCUCCAACGAAGAAAUACAAUGCCAUGUUCACCUUCGGUGACUCGAUGGAUGAGACAGGCAACAUAUGCGUUGGCAGCAGCAACAAGACGGAGUUGAACGUGCUCACCUGCACCCACCCGCCGUACGGCGAAACCUACUUCGGAAGGCCGUCUUGCCGGUGGUGUGACGGCCGCGUGGUUGUUGACUUCGUCGGUUGCAAAGGAUACGUGAGGAAAUCGCUCUUCAUGUUCGGUGCAUACGGCGGAAACGACUACAACGUGCAGCUGCUUGAACGUGGUUUGACACCGGAGCAGGCAAUGAACUACACCCCAAAGAUCGUUGGUGCCAUCGCCAACGGCGUGGUGAAACUGAUUGCUCUCGGCGCCGUCCACGUCGUCGUCCCGGGAAUCUUCCCGACCGGCUGCUUGCCGAUCUUCCUGUCCUUGUUCGGCGACGGCGACGCCGACCUGGACGACGCCGGCUGCCUCAAGGCCUACAACCUCCUGACCAAGUACCACAACUCGAUGCUCCGGAAGCAGGUGGAAGCCCUCCAGCGGAGGCACCGCAACUCGACGAGGCUCAUGUACGCGGACUACUACGGCCUCGUGUACCAGAUGGUCCAGGAGCCCCACAAGUUUGGGUUUAGCGCUCCGUUUGAGGCGUGCUGCGGGGCGGGAGGGGGCAAGUACAACUUCGACCUGAGCGCGAGGUGCGGUAUGGACGGGGCCACGGUGGCGUGCCGCGACUCGUCGGCGCGGCUCAGCUGGGACGGCAUCCACCCCACGGAGGCGGCUAACAAGGUGAUCGCCGGGGCACUGCUCAGGGGACCCUACUGCACUCCUCCCAUCCUAUCCUAG
rnacentral:rRNA from 1 species